ACGGCUAUAUCACUUUGAAACACCAGUUCUUGUACAAUCACCAAAGUUAAGCAACAAUGAGACUGGUCAGUAUCUAGAUGGGUGACUGCUUAGGAAUUCCAGGUGCUGUAG